AGCCCGGAUGGUGGAAUCGGUAGACACAAGGGAUUUAAAAUCCCUCGGCGUUCGCGCUGUGCGGGUUCAAGUCCCGCUCCGGCAUGCCA
rnacentral:tRNA from 1 species